CCUACGGGAGGCAGCAGUGGGGAAUAUUCCGCAAUGGGCGCAAGCCUGACCCAGCAACGCCGCGUGAAGGAAGAAGGCUUUCGGGUUGUAAACUUCUUUUAUGAGGGAAGAGCAGAAGACGGUACCACUUGAAUAAGCCACGGCUAACUACGUGCCAGCAGCCGCGGUAAUACGUAGGUGGCAAGCGUUGUCCGGAUUUACUGGGUGUAAAGGGCGUGUAGCCGGUCUGACAGGUCAGAUGUGAAAUUCCGGGGCUCAACCCAGGAACUGCAUUUGAAACUGUUGGUCUUGAGUAUCGGAGAGGCAGGUGGAAUUCCUGGUGUAGCGGUGAAAUGCGUAGAUAUUAGGAGGAACACCAGUGGCGAAGGCGGUCGGCUGGACGGCAACUGACGGUGAGGCGCGAAAGCGUGGGUAGCAAACAGGAUUAGAUACCCCUGUAGUC
rnacentral:rRNA from 1 species